GAUGAACGCUGGCGGCGUGCCUAAUACAUGCAAGUCGAGCGAACAGACGAGGAGCUUGCUCCUCUGACGUUAGCGGCGGACGGGUGAGUAACACGUGGAUAACCUACCUAUAAGACUGGGAUAACUUCGGGAAACCGGAGCUAAUACCGGAUAAUAUAUUGAACCGCAUGGUUCAAUAGUGAAAGACGGUUUUGCUGUCACUUAUAGAUGGAUCCGCGCCGCAUUAGCUAGUUGGUAAGGUAACGGCUUACCAAGGCAACGAUGCGUAGCCGACCUGAGAGGGUGAUCGGCCACACUGGAACGGAGACACGGUCCAGACGCCUACGGGAGGGAGCAGUAGGGAAUCUUCCGCAAUGGGCGAGAGCUUGACGGAGCAACGCCGCGUGAGUGAUGAAGGUCUUCGGAUCGUAAAACUCUGUUAUUAGGGAAGAACAAAUGUGUAAGUAACUAUGCACGUCUUGACGGUACCUAAUCAGAAAGCCACGGCUAACUACGUG
rnacentral:rRNA from 1 species